GCGUGCGCUCAGCCCAGCGUGAGCGGCACCUGCUAGUCCGGGCUCGCCGAGGAGGCCGCCUCGCCGGGCUCUCACCGCCGCGCCCGCCGGAGCGGCUCAGAGGGCUUCGAGGGCUCCGAGGUCGCCCAGCAGCCGCGGUGGCCCCGCUGCCUGCAAGUCCGCCUGGCUCCGAGUCACGUGUCAGUGCCCGAGGCAGAGACUGAGAAAAAAACGCGCUUCAUUCCUUCUUCCACCGCCAUACUGUAUUUUCCUAAAUCUCAUUUUUAUUCCAACAUUUUACUCCCGCUCGUGGAAGGUUUUUCUGGAAAAAAAAAUGAAGUGCGGUUUGGUUUCCUUGUCAACGGAGGAUGAAGUGAACAGCACAACAGCUCGCAGAGAGCAG
rnacentral:lncRNA from 1 species